rnacentral:rRNA from 1 species
CCUACGGGAGGCAGCAGUGGGGAAUUUUGGACAAUGGACGAAAGUCUGAUCCAGCAAUGCCGCGUGCAGGACGAAGGCCUUCGGGUUGUAAACUGCUUUUGUACGGAACGAAAAGGUCUGCCUUAAUACGGUGGGCUCAUGACGGUACCGUAAGAAUAAGCACCGGCUAACUACGUGCCAGCAGCCGCGGUAAUACGUAGGGUGCAAGCGUUAAUCGGAAUUACUGGGCGUAAAGCGUGCGCAGGCGGUUAUAUAAGACAGAUGUGAAAUCCCCGGGCUCAACCUGGGACCUGCAUUUGUGACUGUAUAGCUAGAGUACGGUAGAGGGGGAUGGAAUUCCGCGUGUAGCAGUGAAAUGCGUAGAUAUGCGGAGGAACACCGAUGGCGAAGGCAAUCCCCUGGACCUGUACUGACGCUCAUGCACGAAAGCGUGGGGAGCAAACAGGAUUAGAUACCCUGGUAGUCCACGCCCUAAACGAUGUCAACUGGUUGUUGGGUCUUCGCUGACUCAGUAACGAAGCUAACGCGUGAAGUUGACCGCCUGGGGAGUACGGCCGCAAGGUUGAACGUUAAAUGAAUUGACGG